rnacentral:rRNA from 1 species
AGGACGAACGCUGGCGGCGUGCCUAACACAUGCAAGUCGAACGAGGCCCAACCAGUGGCAACACUGGUGAAGGCCUAGUGGCGAACGGGUGAGUAACACGUGAGGAACCUGCCCCCGAAGACCGGGAUAACCCUCCGAAAGGAGAGCUAAUACCGGAUAUCCCCAUUGGAUCGCAUGAUCCGAUGAGGAAAUGGAUUCCGCUUCGGGAGGGCCUCGCGGCCUAUCAGCUAGUUGGCGGGUAACGGCCCACCAAGGCAUCGACGGGUAGCUGGUCUGAGAGGACGAUCAGCCACACUGGGACUGAGACACGGCCCAGACUCCUACGGGAGGCAGCAGUGGGGAAUCUUGCGCAAUGGGCGAAAGCCUGACGCAGCAACGCCGCGUGGGGGAUGAAGGCUCUCGGGUUGUAAACCCCUUUCAGUAGGGACGAAUCAAGACGGUACCUACAGAAGAAGCCCGGCUAACUACGUGCCAGCAGCCGC